AGACAACUAGGCAAAUGGUCACUUGUCUUCUGAUCAAGUCUCCCUGCAAGCAAACAUAAAGAGCACGGGUGUGAGUGGUCUGAUGGUGUCCAGCCUCCUGGGAGCCUUGUCCUGUGCCUCUCCACCAGGGACAAUUCUGCUUCCUGGGGGGCUUUCGGCAAUGUCUCGAUCCAUUUUUGGUUGUCACAGAGGGCACUACUGACAUCCUUGUAGGACGUCCUGCUAAACAUCCUGCGGGGCACAGGAUAACCCCACGACAAAGAAAAAUCAAAACGUCAGUAGUGCCGAAGUUGAAAAACUCAGAAAGAGCUGCUCAUUGACACUGUCCUGAAAUACGAAGAAACGACUCUUUUCGCAAGCAGUGGUGCUGUAGGGUCCAGCCAAGGUGGCUAUAAGUAGGCAGAACUGAGUAAACUGAAGUGAGACUCUCCCUCAAAAAAGAACCAUGUCACAUGGUGGCCACCACGUGAAUAUUCAAAAACUGUUGACUCUGUAGCAGAAAGGGAGAGGAAGAAAAUGUGCCUAAAGUCACCAAAGAGCUUUUUGGGUGCCAUAAAUGUAUCUUUUCAUCAUCUCUCCUGUGUUGCUUCAUUAAAAAGGACUGAAAACUUCAAUCAAAUCGUCCUACUAAUCAAGAACCAGCUAUGAUACUAUGAAGUUACAUUUCAUCUGUACCUACAGACAUGUCUAGGUACACAUAUGAAAUGAUACAUGUGUCUUAUAACUACUGGUAGAUAGGAUUGGCCAAAUACAGGACAAAAUACUUUUUGCCAAAUAUAGAAGCCAGAUUUUUUUUAAGCUGAUUUUUAAAAGUUGUCCUGAGCUUUCCAAACAAUAUAUUUAAAAUACAAAACCAGUAAAAACAUUUUUCACUGGUUUAAAGCACUAAAAGACCACUUAAUUAACUUAGAGAAUUUGAUUAAAUGGCCUUUUAAAUUCAAAACCAAGCAUUUUUGCUCUGGCAGACAUUUUCAAAGGAGUCCCAACCGACCUUCACACACAUCCUAAGACUCAUAUGAGCAUAUGCCUAACUAUGGCAAUGUGUCUUUCUAAAGAAGAGAAACAAAUUCAUUGUGGUUUUCUAAAUCAUAUAUGUUGUAGAGAGUCUACUUACUGACAAAUAAUUCAAACAACUGUCCAAUUAUGAAUAAAAAUCACUUAAACCCAUGGAAUGUAUUCUUCCAAUACACACACUUGCUCUUCCAAUGUUCUUCACUUGCAACUGUGAACAAUAAUGCUUCCUUUCUACCCUACAACACCUGGCUAGUACCAGAAAAGACAGAGGGAUGUGCAAAUAAUAAUUAGCUUGUGAUUGUCAUCUUAAUCUUUUUUUACUCCCUGUCAAGAUGUAGUUCAUCUGAGAAGUGAAAUUGGAAAAAGGGUUUGCAUUCUCUGGCAUACUGAUUUAUCUACCAACCUAGAUAAAAAAAAUUCACUUUCUAAGAAAAUGAGCACCACUACUCAGUGAAAUGCUCAAUAUUUUUCAAGAUGCAUUUUGAUCUCUAUGUUGCUUAUGAUAGAGACCAGCUAAGCUUAGCCAAUCUUAGUCCUAGCGACUGUUCUUCAAUGGACAGAUAGGAAUGCUUUCUUCUUGGCCAAGCCACCAUAUUGGUAUAAGUCAUUUAUUAAUUUAAAAAAAGAAAGUGCCUCAAUCUGUUUUCCUAAGUGGGUCAAGUUGAGCCCUGUGCAAUUGUUUGUCCACUACUUUCUAUCUUGGAAAAUCUACCUUUCAUAAAAAAGGUAAAGAUAAACCAAAGCCCCACCCCUGAUUAAAUUGUCAUAGCUGUGUCACAGCCUAGAAUGGGCCAAACAUGGAAAAGAGCAGGUCAGGAGAUCAUUUUAUCACAUACCUGGCCAUAUUGGUCUGCACAUUCCCUUGUCAAGAUGCCCU
rnacentral:lncRNA from 10 species